UUCGUUGGAGAAAACUCUGGGUAUUAUCUCGCUGUGGCUGCCGGUAGUUUCUUCAUCCAGCCAUUAGGGAGUUCAUGCGGCUUCUGCUCUUCUGCUGUUGUAUCCGAGCCCAUCCCCCAUCAUCGCCCGUACUGGCUGGUAGACAUAAAAGUUUGCCGCUUUCCACCUCUUCACUUCGGGUGCGUUAAAGGUUUCCCCCCCUCUGGGAUCGAAAUGGAAGCGGAGCUAGCAACUUUCCGCUUAGUCGCCUCUUUCCAUCGCUGUGCGGGUCUGUGUGUACAGACAGCCCAGAGUUUGAACAGGGAAGGACAACAGCGGUUUCGUUUGCCCGCCUUGCAGUUGGCUCAACACUUCGGGCUGCUGCCACAAGAGCCGCCCCCGACCGAAUACUCGCUGAAAGCCGGCCUAUCCGCUGCGCUGUCCUCGUUUGCAGCCCGAUCUGAGUGCGCAUGGGCCGCGGUACCAGCUCCCCGCUCAGGUCAGCCGGGCCUCCAGCCAGGAUGAAGGAGACGAAGAUCCCUUCUCCAUCCUCCCCGCCAACGAUGUUGAAGCCCAGACCAGUAGAGCCCUUGUGCAGCACCACCUUCCUUGGCUCCCUGUCAAAUAGAGUGGCGGUGUCAGGGUGAAGGGCGGGACAAAGACUGUAUAAAAAGAGGCUAAAUUUAAAAGAGACGUGGCCAAAACUGAAAUAGAAUUAGCAUCAACAGAGAGUACAGAGACUAGUUUGUUAUGUGAAUGAUCCCAAAAUGUCAAGUGUGUCCAGUUUAGGCAGCUACAUGCAGCAGGCCUGCAGAUGGUUUAUUGUAGGCUCACUCUGUUUAUAUACUUGAAUCUGAGAACUUUAAAUAGAACAUUUAAACGAUUUAUGUUCAGGACACCACUCGCUGGUAGAAAACGAUGAUUAACCAUAUAAUAACCAUGCAUAAAAACCAUGCACAACACUGUUAACUCAUUACAAUAAAACAAGCAGCAACAUGA